rnacentral:rRNA from 1 species
UACGGGAGGCAGCAGUGGGGGAAUAUUGCACAAUGGGCGAAAGCCUGAUGCAGCUAUGCCGCGUGUAUGAAGAAGGCCUUAGGGUUGUAAAGUACUUUCAUCGGGGAGGAAAAACAAAACUAAUAAUUUUAUUUCUUGACGUUACCCGAAAAAGAAGCACCGGCUAACUCCGUGCCAGCAGCCGCGGUAAUACGGAGGGUGCUAGCGUUAAUCAGAAUUACUGGGCGUAAAGAGCACGUAGGUGGUUUUUUUAAGUCAGAUGUGAAAUCCCUGGGCUUAACCUAGGAACUGCAUUUUGAAACUGAAAUACUAGAGUAUCGUAGAGGGAGGUAGAAUUCUAGGUGUAGCGGUGAAAUGCGUAGAUAUCUGGAGGAAUACCUGUGGCGAAAGCGGCCUCCUAAACGAAUACUGACACUGAGGUGCGAAAGCGUGGGGAGCAAACAGGGAUUAGAUACC